rnacentral:misc_RNA from 1 species
AAAGUCGUAACAAGGUCUCCGUUGGUGAACCAGCGGAGGGAUCAUUACCGAGUAUGCGCUCUAUAACCCACUGUGAACCUACCUAUUGUUGCUUCGGCGAGCCGGCCCUGCUGGGGAGGGCUCUGGUGCGCUCGCCGGAGGUAUACCAACGCAUUGCCUGCCCAGGCGCGAUAUUAUCUGAGUGGCUUCAAAAAUGAAUCAAAACUUUCAACAACGGAUCUCUUGGUUCUG